GUUAGAGUUUGGAUCUGGCUCAGAUUGAACGCUGGCGGCAGGCCUAACACAUGCAAGUCGAGCGGUAGAGAGGUGCUUGCACCUCUUGAGAGCGGCGGACGGGUGAGUAAUGCCUAGGAAUCUGCCUGGUAGUGGGGGAUAACGUUCGGAAACGAACGCUAAUACCGCAUACGUCCUACGGGAGAAAGCAGGGGACCUUCGGGCCUUGCGCUAUCAGAUGAGCCUAGGUCGGAUUAGCUAGUUGGUGAGGUAAUGGCUCACCAAGGCGACGAUCCGUAACUGGUCUGAGAGGAUGAUCAGUCACACUGGAACUGAGACACGGUCCAGACUCCUACGGGAGGCAGCAGUGGGGAAUAUUGGACAAUGGGCGAAAGCCUGAUCCAGCCAUGCCGCGUGUGUGAAGAAGGUCUUCGGAUUGUAAAGCACUUUAAGUUGGGAGGAAGGGUUGUAGAUUAAUACUCUGCAAUUUUGACGUUACCGACAGAAUAAGCACCGGCUAAC
rnacentral:rRNA from 1 species